UCUUGAGGCGAGGACAGAUUUAGGAACCAAGGGUCACACGGGGUCACCAGUGAACUCCACUGCCCUUGAGGAUUUUUAAGGCAUUCCCCACUCCAGUACCAUGCCGGGCACGAGAAAGCGUGGUCACAGAGCAGGGCUAAUACAGGACCGUCAGCUACUGGUGCCAAUCCAGUCCUUCCCAGAGAGAUCAGCUUCAUGCAGUCUAUUUCAGGGAGGUGUGAAUAGCGGACUAAGUACAAAAAUAAUCUGGAGAGACAGAGGAGGCAUGUAGAUCGGCAGAGAUGGAUUAAAUGGUUUUUAUGCCCAUAAUAACAACAACAACAGCAGCAGCUCAUAUCACUGUCAUACUGAGAAGUUUGUAAAGGAUGAAAGAGCCAGAAACAAAUACCUUAUCUGGAAUAUUGAGUUUGAUCCAAGAAGGAAAAUGAUGAACUGGAGAGCAUCCAGAGGAGGGCAACUGUGAUGAUGAAGUCUUGUCUUGAGUCCAUGUCAUAUGCAGCUGCUGAGAGUACUCACUAUGGAAUGGAAUCCCAAGGCGGUAUCAUGUUAUUCUGCUGACAUCUAAGAAAAGGACACAGGAGCUUGCUGCUUGUGUUCAGCCCCCUGCCUUACGUGAGAUGACUCCACUGGCCCUGGGCUCCGGUUUCUUGUCAACAAGUCUUGUUUAUGGGUGAACAACUGCAAGUAGCAACUUGUGGGGCCAUUUUGUUCUUUCUUAGAACACAUGGCUCUGGGUGUUUACUACUAAGAGGGAGAAGAACGCCUCUUUGGAUUGCAUUGCACAGCUACAUAUUGGGAAGAACCCUUUUGUUUCCCACCUGUCCAAGCUUUUGAAAGUAUUUUGUAAAUUAUAAAGCAUUAUAUAAGUGUAAACUUUUAUGAUAUAGGAGGAUACAAGGGGAAAGAAGGCUAAGGGGGAAAUACUCUAAAACUGUCAAAUGAUGUGGAUAGUUUGACCCUAUAUAAAAGAGUCAUGGGGAAAGUAAACCAGAGUCCAUAUGUAUCAUAAAUUUGUAGGACCUUAGACCUAUAAAUGAAAGGUACCUCACAGGAGAUCUAGUACAACCUUUUCAUUUUACAGAUGAGGAAACUGAGGCCCAGAGAGGUCAGGUUUUUGCCCAAGAUUGCACAGAUAGAAAUGGGCAGAGCUGGGGCUUAGCUUCAAAUGUUUUCCGUUGUUUCAUGUGCUAGGCAUUAAAAGCUUAAUGGAGGCAGGGGUUGAAAACAUAUACAUAAGAAGGGGAUAGCUAAGUGCUUCAGUGCUUCAGUGAAUUGACAGACUUAUGGAUGGGAGAUCCUGGGGUUAAAUCUGGUCUCAGACACUUCUCAGCUGGGCAAGGCACCUCACCCCCAUUGCCUAGCCCUCACAGUUCUUCCUUGGAACAAAUACACAGUAUUGAUUCUAAAAUGGAAGGUUAGGGCUUAAAAAAAGGGGAGGCUAUAAAACGUCUAGAAGGUAAAUGUAAGAUCAUUUUGGGGGGCAGGAAGGCACUAACAGCUUGGAGGAGGAGACAGUUUUUGAGCUGAGCUUUGAAUGAGGGUAGAGAUUCUAAGAGACAGAAAGUAGAUGGGUAGGAUGGUAUUCCUGGCAUGGGAGAGAGACGGGAGAUGUAUGGAUGUGUGUAUAGAUUCUAUUUGCUCUUUAGCUCAGACAUAUGGAGUACUUUAAGCUUUACAAACUGUAUCCCUCGCAAUUGUCCUGUUGGGUAAUAAUAAUGAUGAUAGUAGUUCAGUAACAGCUAAUUUCUCUGAUUAGGUUUUCAAAGUCCUUUGCAGAUAUCAUUUCAUUUGAUUUUCACAAUACCUCUAUGAAGUAAAGUAUGUUUAUUAUUCUUUUCUGAAAGACACUCAGGCUGGGAGAUAUUUAUGGUGCUCAUGAAGCCAAGAAAUAUUGAAGGUGGGAUUCCAAGCCAGAUGUUACUGACUUCAAGUCUCAUAGUUCAUGAACCACGCCACCCUGCUUCUUAUGUUGGUAACAUACGUAUUGUCACCCGGGUUUGUAAAGAUGAGGGAACUGAUGCUCUGAAGGCUAAGGGACUUGCCUAUAGUCUCAUGGCUGAUCUCAGUUUCAGAGCCAGGAUGCAAAACGAAAUCCUCCAACUCUAGGUCCAUUCAAUGUUCUCUCUGCUGAAAAGUAUUAUCUAUGUGCAAGGCCAUCUUACGGUACAGGCAGAAAGGCAGAAGCUAGGGGGCACAGUGGAUGGUUCUGAGCUGGAAGCAGGAAAACUCUUCUUGAGUUUAUAUCCAGACUCAGACACUUACUUAGCUAUGUGACACUGGUUAAGUCAUUCUACCCAAUUUGCCUCAGUUUCCUCAUCUGUCAAAUAAGCUGGAGGAGGAAAUGGCAAACCACUCCAGUGUCUUUGCCAAGAAAACCCCAAAAUGGGGUCACAAAGAGUCUGGCAUGACUGAAACUAACAACUGAAACGUAACAAACAAAAACAAUAACAACAGAGGAGAGGGGGGAAAGCUUCAAAAUGUAAUUUAAGGAGGAAGGCUUAAUGAUUGUUUCCCUGACAGCUGGCCAUGGAAACCACACAUCUUUUCUGUUUGGCCUGACAUUGUCUUCUCUCGGUUGGACAAAAAUUCUUGUUGAUAUUGUCUCAGAAAAUUGCUUUUUAAAUGCACUUAAGAGGGGAAGGAAUCCCUUCGUUCUCUCCUUAGUACUUAAAAUUAAAUUAGUAUUUAAAAAACAGGUUUUUGCCAAUUAGAGCUCUACUGCCUAUCUCAACUCAUCUUCCUCCCUCCUUGGCCUUUGCAUACUUAGAUGUCAUUCUAUAGCCAUGUUGGAAGAAUUUCUAAGAAAGAGGACAAAACGUUCCCUAAGCAGAAAAGGGAACUUCAUGGAAAUGGGAUGCCUGGUCAUGCUGGUUUUAAAUAUAGAUGUUCUAGUGUUGAAAAUGAAGAUAUGAACACCCAGUAGAAUAGGAAUGACAAUUUAGCACAUCUAUGUUUUUCUCUCCUAUUAGUAUAUUCUUCUUUAUCUUUCUUCUACUUUUCUACCUAUCUUUUAAGAAAAUUAUAUAUAAAGAAAAGAAUAAAGACUGGGUCAAGGAAAGAAAAAAUUAGAGGAGAAAACAGGUUAAGAUUAAGAUAUUGCUGCUGGUACUGUAGAAGGUAGGUUGCUGCUUCAGUGAGAAUCAGAUGUUUAGCCUUCCCUUGGAUUCCAGGUGUCCUAGACCAUGGAGAUAGCUGAAGUUGCUUUAUCUUUGGUGCAAAAUUUCUCUUUUGGAGAGAUUUAAGAGAUCUUGGUGAUCAGAGAAACUUUUUAGUCCUCCUUCAGAAUAUUGUUCCUGUGACUACCUUAAUUACAUUUAAAUAAAUAUAAAUGCUAAAGACAAAACUGCAUGAAGCCCUUUUCUAGAAUUUCUUCUUAAAAUAAGAGAGGGGAAGCAGAAUAAGAACAAGAGGAAUGACAAAAAGGGUCAAGUUUCAAGGCAAGGGCCAAGGAAAAAUUGUGCUGGUUUUAUCCUUUUGUUUAUGCUCUGGUUGUUUGUGUUAGUUCUUGUGGCUUCUAGUUUCAAGAAACCCCACUUCAGGUUGCUGAAGGGAGAACGAGACUCUGGAAAGAAGCUGAUGGAUGUAAUGCUGACAAUUUCCAUCGUGCUCCUAUCCCCAGCUUGUUACACUAGAGACUUUGGGGAACUAGAGACUAGGGACCUCUUGGGUGAGAUCUGGGAUUCUAGCUUUGGGUUGAGCUGAGUUACCUCAUUCCCAAGGGAGAACUCCUUUACUCUAUCUUGUCUAGUAUAUAUUCUUCUUUGUAUACCUUCUCUGAUUUCUGUUUUGCUAUCAACUCAGGUAAAUGGAUUUCUUUGCCACUUGCUAUGUAUGUUCAUUUAUAGAACUGACAUCUAGUGGAAAGAGAGUGAAAUCUUGGAUAUAAAACUUGGGUCCUACUUUCUCUAUAGUGAUCAGAAGUUUAACUGGAACCUGAAAACCAUAUGCCCUAGACUAACAACAUUUAAGGGACCAGAUAAUCUAGCCUGGUCCUCUUUGUAUCUGAGGAGAUCCAAGGGAUCAUGAGCCUGACUCCCAACCCUCCUGAAAGAAAUUAAGACCUCUUUUGGAGAAGGAGGGGAAGAGAAGAGGGGAAGCUCUUCUAGCUUCAUAAGGACACCUCCACACUACAGGUGAGGGGCAGCCUUUGCUAUACUAAGAAAAAAUAAUCAUAAAACAUUGGGAGGCAAUAAAGUGCAGUAGAAAUAGCACCAAAGCCAUGGCAGGAAGAAAAGGGAGCUAAACACAGAACUCCACCCAAUUUAUCUCCUGUCUACAUCAGCAUGUAAUGACAGGAAGUGAGUGGGCUUCUGGGUAAUAUAGUUUAAAGGUACAAGAUUUCUGAUUACACACUUCCUUCAACCUGUUUUUGAGUUCUAUGUCUAACACUAUGUGAUCUUAGACUAUCUUGGAUUUUUUUUAAUUUAAAUUUUUCUUUCCUCAUCUGUAAAACAGUAAUGUUGUGAAGAAAUUAACUUUGUAAGUCAUAAAAUAUUAUAUAAAAACCAAUUAAAUUUAAAUUUAAAUUUUUUUGAAUGGUAAAAGUCAAUUUUAAUUAAGCCAACAUUCUACAGAAUCCAAAGGACUGAAUGUCAUGUGGAAUCUUUCAUACAAUAGUAAUAUGUUUCAUCUACAGUCUUUGCAAUAACUAUUAAGUUUUGAUUUAGCGGAAACUGUUUACAAGCAAUUUUUCUAUCACAAAAUUAAAUUAAAACGAAAACAGAAUGAAUAGUAUUAUAU